AUGUAUUGUUAUAUGUAUGUAUCCAUGCCCAAUGAAGAAAAAGGGAGAUCAGACACAGUAUGGUUUCUCUGGAUGGAGUGCAAAAGUUUUCUACUUCUCACAAAAUUGAUGAUUCUUAUUUGCUAUUAUGGGGUUUCUGCAGCCUGCCUGCGGGUCAUAGAUUUGGGCUUGGAGGUGCUCGAUUUUCUCGUGGAGCUUGAAGAUGGCCUCCCCAAUGUCCUUAGCAUCCAACUUGUGGUUGUUGGUGAACUCCGUGAUCAUUAUGUGAUUGGAGUCAAGUCCACGCUCCACCAUCUCCUGGCACUUGAAAACUUGUUGCUCCAUUGCCUCGAGCCCUGUCUCCACGCUUCCGGUCCUCCUUAG
rnacentral:rRNA from 1 species